AGUGAACGCUGGCGGUAGGCCUAACACAUGCAAGUCGAACGGCAGCACAGUAAGAGCUUGCUCUUACGGGUGGCGAGUGGCGGACGGGUGAGGCAUACAUCGGAAUCUACUUUUUCGUGGGGGAUAACGUAGGGAAACUUACGCUAAUACCGCAUACGACCUACGGUUGAAAGCAGUGGAUCUUCGGACCUUGCGCGAUUGAAUGAGCCGAUGUCGGAUUAGCUAGUUGGCGGGGUAAAGGCCCACCAAGGCGACGAUCCGUAGCUGGUCUGAGAGGAUGAUCAGCCACACUGGAACUGAGACACGGUCCAGACUCCUACGGGAGGCAGCAGUGGGGAAUAUUGGACAAUGGGCGCAAGCCUGAUCCAGCCAUACCGCGUGGGUGAAGAAGGCCUUCGGGUUGUAAAGCCCUUUUGUUGGGAAAGAAAAGCAGCAGGUUAAUACCCCGCUGUUCUGACGGUACCCAAAGAAUAAGCACCGGCUAACUUCGUG
rnacentral:rRNA from 1 species